rnacentral:lncRNA from 10 species
GAAAAAUAAGUGUGUUGAGAAAAGUUGUAUAGAGCCUCUGUACUUAGCCUCCAGCAGAGUAAGUGGGGAAACAUGCCAUUCCUCCUGUGGCAAAUGAAGCUUCCAGGUACUGGACCCGAAAUCAGAAAGAUUCCUAAAGCUGCAAGAGCAUCUGGCACCUCUGAUUCCCACAUGGAGAGGUUGAAUAGCCCCAAAAUGUGCCACUGUCUUUCAGAGAAGACACGGACACAAGGAAUCCUAUAGCCAGACCAGAUUAAAUUCCAAAUUUCUGCAUAAAACCACGUUUAGAAGAAUCUGUGACUGACUGAUUACUAAACAGUGGCUUAUCCUUGGAAACUCAUUAUGCCUAGUGAAAUCUACCAAUAUAGGCAAGAGUUUAAUCUGCUGCAAAUGGUAAACCAUGGAAGUAGACUUGGAGUUUGGUAGUGAUGAGAACAGAAGUCUCUGUGAGCUUGUCAGCAAGGCCCAGGGCAUCUCUGUCGCCUGGAACAGCUCUGAAGAUGUUGGCCACACAAGUUCUAUUAAUCAGCACCUGCAGAGCGAGCACUCACAUCUAACUGAGUUCAGGGUCAGCAAACUGGAUUCAGUAUGUUCAAUCUAAAACUACACGCCAUUGUUAAAAGGCAGUGCAUUGUUAAUAAACAGGAGAACAAUUGUCCAAAAGCCUUCGAAAACUAGGUUUUCAGGGUUUUGGUCUACUCUAAACAAAACUGGAAAUUGAACUUUAGGAAGGAAAUUGGGAACCAUUAUUAACUAUAUUAUAUUCAAACGUGAAAUUUGCAAUUUAAUAAGCAAAGGAUGGCUGUAUGCAUGUUGUGAAAGCAAGAAAUGAUUCCAAAUGAAAGGCUAUACAUUAAAGUAUUUCAUCUUUAUCAUUUAUUUCUGUAAACUGCUAAAGCUGUGCUUUAUUUAUUGCAGUUCAUCCAUAUAUAAUUCUCUGUAGUUUAGAAAACUGCAUCUAACAUUUUUAUCCCAACUUUAUAAAUUGCAUUGAUUUAUUUCUGUCUCGUAAGCCUAAAACCAUUUAUUACAACAACAAAACAUCCUCCUAUUCUGGUGUUCCAGGAACAAAGUCUACCCGCUUACUGUGUAGGGAGCAUUGACAGAUGGCCAAAUGGGGUGAUAGCUUUGAUUUUAAUGUGUCUUAAGAGAGUAAAUGAAGCAAAGGCAAUCUUCAUCUCCUGUGAAAAGUUGGAUUUUUGUGUGGCUUGUCGGCAACACUGAGGUGCAAUUCUCACAGCACUUCAUUGAUUUUCCACUCAACCAUGACCAUUCAAACAGCAAAAAGCAGGGUCAAAGAAUUUUUAAAGUUUUUUUUUCUGUUUAUCUACAAGAGCACAAACAAAACUGACCACACUUACUUCGGUGAUAUUCCAUGGUUGCUGGUGCAAAGCCUUUGUGAGUUUCACAGGUUAUGAAUUUCUAAUUUUACAUAAAAUGAAGUGGUUUUGUCGAGAGAAUCAUUAACAUCAUAAAGACUGUAAGAAUAAAAAUUCUUCACAUCGCCCCCACCUGUGAUUUUAGCAUAUAUCAUGGAUGACAAAGCACUCUGCAUUGCUUGCUUUAAGCUCUGAAAAGGGACAGACUUCAACAGCAGGACAUGAAAUAAUGCUUGUAAUACAGCAGUAAAGUCUCAUUGCCGUAGGAUGGUGUGUUAUUCUGUACUGGGCCUCAAACCCCAAUUUAACUUUAAAUACAAAGCACCAUUUAAAUAUAAAGAUUAACUUCUUCAUCUUCAUCUUCUGUGAGAGCAUGAAAGCUUGAACAAGAAUUUGCCGAGGGAAGAUGUAACAGCUAAACUCUACAGAAAUUUUAGCCACUGGACUAGCAUUUAAAAAGGUGGAAGCCUGACAUUACCAACCUUGUGUACUGCAAAUUUGGGUAGAAUCGUACUUCUGUGGUAGUACAAAUGAUAGCUGUAGAAAAUCAUCCAGUAAUUUAGUUGGCGUAUUUGUUCUGUUAUUUAGUUGGUGUGUUUGUAUUUACAUUUCACCUUGCAGUAUGAUAAAAUGAAACAAGAACAGGCUCUGGAGACUAAAAGACCUGAAUUCUCAUCCUGCUUCUGCCUUUCCCCUGCUUUGUAAAACUGGGAACUUCCUUUGCGAAUUGGGAACUUAGCCCCUUCAGUCCAUGUUUCUUCAUCUGUGUAAUAGAAUGGUAAUAUUUUACAAGUUCCACUCAUUAGAUUAUCUGUGAAAUAACUAGUAGUGUCUGACAUUCAAUACAUUUUCGUUCACUUAGCACACGAGGCCAAUGUGAUACAAGGAAGUUUCUAUUUUAAAUCCAUUUGUUAGGAGCACGAAAUGCACACUCUUGAUGUUCAGAAAAGAAGGCUCCUACCAUGCAACACAAAGCUCCCAGCACCAGAACACACCAGUACUCCCCAGGCAAAAUGACUGUUAAGUUCAC